AUGGGCGACGCCGCCAACGCCUCCCGUCGGCGUCGGCUGGCCUCAAUUCUCCUCUCCCGGAAACCGCGCUUCACCGACAGCACGAACGAGACCACGGCCACAGUCAUAUCCAGGGAUGGCUUUACCAUGAAGGUCUCCUUCUGGAUGGCCGACCCACCGCAGCUGUCAAUCUUCUCCAUCCACUGCUGCAGUCCCCCUCAUCUGCAAGACCGCCCGUAUUCCGAGUUCUCAGUUUCGCCACGCGUGGUCGGCGUCGGCGCGGAGGGCCGUUUCGUCCUCUUCCGCGCCGUCUUCAACGGCCACUACGCAUCUGAAUAUUUCCUGUACAAGGCUGGUGAGUCGCCGUUGCUCGACCGUAUUCCUUCUCCCGACGAGUAUUGUGAUGACGACCGCGAUGAUCUGCGCGGGGUCAGGGAGUUCGGCAUCCUGCAGCUUGGCAGCCACUAUCUCGUGGCCGCUCUCUGCCUCGCGCCGUCGUCGGAUGACUACCACCUUUGGAUCUACUCGUCCGAGAAAAAGUCCUGGAUCACUAGGACACUGCCCAAUCCAUGUCCUGUGGUCGACAGGAUUAUACCCGAUAAGGUGAUCUCGCUUGGAGAAGGCUUGCUAGGGUGGGUUGAUUUGUCACACGGCCUGCUGAUGUGCGAUUUGGGUCAAGAUCAUGUAAGUUUCAUCCCGUUGCCGGAGCUGUUGCCUGGGAACAGAUACAAACUAAAAUGUCCCAUUCCGCCUACCACCGCAAAGAGAAAGAUAAAACUAGAGGACGAAUCUUUCUUGUGGUUUCGGGAUCUCACAUGCGUUGAUGGCGUGCUCAAAUUUAUUGAGAUGGAGAAUCUUGCUCCUGGAAUCCAGAGCAACAAGGAGGGUAUUGUCUAUGAUUCGGACUUGAUCAUGUCGCUCGAGCGCAAAGAGGAUUGGAAUUCCAAGCAGCUGUCCUUUGGGGGUGCCUGGAGAGCUGUCACAUGGACUCGGACAUUUUCAUCUAACUGUUGGCGCCAGACAUGCGCUGCUGAUGUCGCUGACAUCUUGGUUGACGAGUCUUUGUUGCCCGGGCUGGACAUGACAUUGGGGAACCUCUACUCAGCUUUCCCCAUCCUGAGCCCGGAUGGUGACGAUAUUCUUUAUAUCAAAUCUGUGCUGAAACCUAGUAUUCACGAUGGAUGGGUGGCAGCCGUUGACCUGGGAAACAAGGCAGUGAAAGCAAUUGGAAAGUAUUAUCUUCCGGAUGAUUUUUAUUACGAACUUCGCUAUGACCCUCAACAUCCUUUCUUUGCCUGUACAUUAUCCCGCCAUCUGGAUAUGACUCCAGGCACUGAAGUCUCAGCGUGUCGCAAGAUCCCAGAAGAGGCUAGCAGCUCUGCAAAUCAGCCAAGCAACUCCUCAAUCUGUGUGGGUGAGCUCAAUUCCUGUGAACCAAGGAGCAAAAUCCAAAGGCCUUGGGAAUGGGCUCAGAAAAACAAGCGUGCACGAAAUGCUGUUGGGAGUAUUAUGCAGAACGAUCAUAUUUCCCAGCAGCUUGACGAGAAGGUGCUGGAGCUAGAGCGGGAGAUAGAGCAUGAGCUAGAGCGGAAGAAAGAGCGUAAGACACAACAGCAGUGCUUCAAAAAGUGGGAUGCGCCAUGCUAUCCCCCUGGGCAGUCAUUGUGGCCCCAAAACAAUCUGCCAGCGCGGCAAUACUUCAACAAGCCAGAUGGACCAUGUGGUCCUGGUUAUGCAUCGUUUGCCCCUGUACAUGGUCGUCACAACAACCAGCCACUGUGGCUGCAGCUACCACCAUUAAAACGGCUUUUCACUUAUAGCAGUGAGUUUGGACCUCAUGAGGUACCCCAGCCAUCCUUCAACAAUAGCAGUGGAGCCAGCUACCAUUGGUAUCCACAGCAACUUACUGCCCCCAACUCAUUUGCCUAUGGCGCACACACAGGCUAUGGCAAGUACCAACACCAAUGGGAGAAGCCUCCCAAUACUCUGGAGCUGCCUGUUGCAUCUUGGGAGCAUUCACCUUCUCCUUCGUAG
rnacentral:rRNA from 1 species